GUCUCCGAUAAUCAUAAAACUCUAAACUUGCAGGCUGCUGAAUAUUUGAAUGACAAGCGGAGCU
rnacentral:sRNA from 1 species